GAAAAAAGAUGGAGGUCAAAGAAGAAAGUCUUCGUUCUUUUAAUUUGUUGAUUAAAAACGUGGAGAAAAAUGUCGAACACUUUAUAACUCACGAUGAAAAUCAAUGUUCGGAAAUUCUUUCUGGCCUACGCGAAAUUUACUACCUCACUAAAAAGGAGGAAGCUGUUUGUGGGCGAAGUAUCAAAGGAUGUCCUUUCGAGAGACUACAACUUGAUGAUACGAAUUUCGAUGUAGAAAUAAUAUGGCAGCAAAUACAGCUUCAAAAUGAGUGCCUUUUACCUAAGUUGAGUGUAGAAGUUAAGACUUUGACAAAUGGAACUGUAUUUUUGAGGAAAAAUAUGAAAAUUUUAGCGGCCGAUGUAAGAACAAAUAAAAUGGAAAGUGAUUCUCAAAUAUUGGCUCAAAGUGAUUCUGAGAAGGGUGGAUCCAAAUCAACUUUGGAGAAACAGCAGGAAAAGGUGAAAAAGCAGAUUGCGGCAUUGGAACAAAGUAAUAUUGCGACAAAAAGUUGGCAACUCUCAGGAGAGACAUCGCAUCUGUACGACCGCAAAAUAGUCUGCUGGAGGAAGUGUUGCAGUUUGAUCACACUACAGCUCCUGCUCCUGUUAUAACAGUAGAGAGAAGCAAAAAUUUAGAAAAUAUUAUCAUCGGGAGAAUUAAAGAUAACGCAUGGGAUGACGUGGAGCGAAAAGAAAAGCCAGUAAAGGAAGUUGAAUACAAGAAAGCUCACCCAAUAAGUCAA